AUAGGAAAUCUGAUCUGCCCGGUGAAUAUAAUGUUUUAACGGCCGCAGUAAUUUGACUGUGCGAAGGUAGCAUAAUCAUUUGCCCUAUAAUUGAGGGCCAGUAUGAAUGAUUUGACAAGAGAAUUAUUGUCUCUUUUUUAUUUAUUAGAAUUUUACUUUUAAGUGAGGAGGCUUAAUUUUUAUUAAAAGACAAGAAGACCCUAUCGAGCUUUUAUAGUUGAUUUAUAGUUAUUUAUAUAAAUUAUAUAUUUAUAGUAUAGGUUUAAAUUUUAAUUGGGGCGAUGGGAGAACAUAUAAAGCUUCUCUUUUAUUAAUAUAUCUUGAUGGUUGAUCCAGAAAUAGUACUGCUUAGAAGAAUAAGUUACCGUAGGGAUAACAGCAUAAUUUUUCUGGAGAGUUCAUAUCGAUAGAGAUGUUUGUGACCUCGAUGUUGGAUCAAAAUUUCCUUAUAAUUGUUGGUGUAGGAGCCAGAGAGGGUGGGUCUGUUCGACCUUUAAAAUUUUA
rnacentral:rRNA from 1 species